CAGGGCGGGCUCCCCCUGCCCAGAGGCUUCCCCGGAUUGAAGCUUCAGCCCCAGCUCUCUCCUCCAGGGCCUUGGCUGGGAUAUCAUCAUAUACUGUAAGUUUGUGAUGAGACACUACAGUAUAGAUGAUGUACUAGUCUGGGUACCCCCAGCUCUAGAGCCUGCCUUGGAGGGCAGCAGAAUGUUGAAGCCCGCGGGGCUCACUGCUCAGCCUAUCAAGCCUCCUGACUGCCGUGGCACUUGGGGAUGGCGAGGAAACCGUUACCAUUACUGAGUUUAGUAAUGGUAACGGUUCUCUUGCUGCUCCCAGAAACUGUGCCAAGAAGAGCUCAUGACCCUGGUGCAGACUCCUGGAAGAAAGAGACCCAGGCUGACAAGAGAAUGGGGCAGGGGAAUGGGUACAUUUUUUCCUCCCUAUUCCAAAGAAAUAAAGAUAAGAAUAAGAA